rnacentral:tRNA from 1 species
UUUUAGAAAGCGAAGUAUUUGCAUUUAGUUUCGGCCUAACUCUUGGUAUUACCUCUAAUUU